rnacentral:misc_RNA from 1 species
GCUCCGUUGGUGAACCAGCGGAGGGAUCAUUACAGGACUCGCAAGACUCCUUCACCCUGUGAACCUCACUACGAGCACGUUGCUUCGGCGGGUGUCCCGGCGGGGGUUUUCCCUCGCCGGGGCGCACAGCCCGCCGGCAGCCUACUAUACUCUGUCUCUUUGCGUUGGCAUCUCGAGAAAAAACAAACAAGUUAAAACUUUCAACAACGGAUCUCUUGGUUCUG